rnacentral:rRNA from 1 species
CGCUGGCGGCGUGCUUAACACAUGCAAGUCGAACGAUGAAGCCUAGCUUGCUAGGUGGAUUAGUGGCGAACGGGUGAGUAACACGUGAGCAACCUGCCCCGAACUUUGGGAUAAGCGCUGGAAACGGCGUCUAAUACCGAAUACGCACCAUGGCGGCAUCGUCAAUGGUGGGAAAGAUUUUUCGGUUCGGGAGGGGCUCGCGGCCUAUCAGCUUGUUGGUGAGGUAAUGGCUCACCAAGGCGUCGACGGGUAGCCGGCCUGAGAGGGUGACCGGCCACACUGGGACUGAGACACGGCCCAGACUCCUACGGGAGGCAGCAGUGGGGAAUAUUGCACAAUGGGCGCAAGCCUGAUGCAGCAACGCCGCGUGAGGGAUGACGGCCUUCGGGUUGUAAACCUCUUUUAGUAGGGAAGAAGCGAAAGUGACGGUACCUGCAGAAAAAGCACCGGCUAACUACGUGCCAGCAGCCGCGGUAAUACGUAGGGUGCAAGCGUUAUCCGGAAUUAUUGGGCGUAAAGAGCUCGUAGGCGGUUUGUCGCGUCUGCUGUGAAAACUAGAGGCUCAACUUCUAGCUUGCAGUGGGUACGGGCAGACUAGAGUGCGGUAGGGGAGAUUGGAAUUCCUGGUGUAGCGGUGGAAUGCGCAGAUAUCAGGAGGAACACCGAUGGCGAAGGCAGAUCUCUGGGCCGUAACUGACGCUGAGGAGCGAAAGAGUGGGGAGCAAACAGGCUUAGAUACCCUGGUAGUCCACUCCGUAAACGUUGGGAACUAGUUGUGGGGGCCUUUCUACGGUCUCCGUGACGCAGCUAACGCAUUAAGUUCCCCGCCUGGGGAGUACGGCCGCAAGGCUAAAACUCAAAGGAAUUGACGGGGACCCGCACAAGCGGCGGAGCAUGCGGAUUAAUUCGAUGCAACGCGAAGAACCUUACCAAGGCUUGACAUAUAC